rnacentral:rRNA from 1 species
UACGUAGGGACCGAGCGUUGUUCGGAUUCAUUGGGCGUAAAGGGUGCGUAGGUGGCGGGGUUAGUCAGGUGUGAAAUCUCGGGGCUCAACCCCGAAACUGCACUUGAUACUGCCUUGCUAGAGUACUGGAGAGGAGAUUGGAAUUUACGGUGUAGCAGUGAAAUGCGUAGAUAUCGUAAGGAAGACCAGUGGCGAAGGCGAAUCUCUGGACAGUUACUGACACUGAGGCACGAAGGCCAGGGGAGCAAACGGG